rnacentral:rRNA from 1 species
UAAAUAGUCACGCGGACUUUGGUUCGUGGCUGACUUCUUAGAGGGACUAUCGGCGAUUAGUCGAUGGAAGUUUGAGGCAAUAACAGGUCUGUGAUGCCCUUAGAUGUUCUGGGCUGCACGCGCGCUACACUGACGAAGCCAGCGAGUUUACAACCUUGGCCGGAAGGUCUG